GGCCGCUGUGCUUGUAAUUUGACGGAUUGUAAGAUCCCGAUAAGACAAAAGACACCGGAAACACGAUCUGAGUAUCACUGCACCGGGUCACCAAGGGGAUGUGUCAAAAGGCGACAAGACUAAGCUAAGCACUAAGGACGUGCCAAUGGCCCGCCUUCAACACGUCCGUAGAAAUGUGACUAAACUAGAGCAAGAAGCACAUUCCUAAAAUGCAUGCCAAAUAUUAAUUCCAGGUGUGUAUCACAUUGUAUCCAUACGAGUUAAAAAAAAUCAACACAUCACAUUUUGUCUGGCCGAAUUACAUGUAUAUUGUGGUGAAACAAGUUUCAAGCAUGACUGAAACAAACAAGAAAAAUUCAAACAUCGCAGAAUACGAUAUCCUUGACGAGAAAAUAACGAUGUACCAACAUUAAGAUGUUAUGUUUUAGACAAUUUCCAAGAAUAUCCGUGACCAGCUGGAAGUUGCCUAGCAUGCUAUAGGAAAUGGCGCAUCUACGAAAGUGAAAAUUCCUUCAUAUCCCGAAUACAGAUAUUAGUGAAAUGGGUAAUUGAGAUCUUCAUGAAUAAAAAGCAUUUUGACAUUU